GACGAACGCUGGCGGCGCGCUUAACACAUGCAAGUCGAGCGAAGCGGCGGACGGGUGAGUAACACGUGAGUAACCUGCCUUAGACCUUGGGAUAGCCUCGGGAAACCGGGAUUAAUACCAAAUGGUCUAAGAUGGACUAGCGUCCCAUUAACUAGUUGGUGAGGUAACGGCCCCCCACAGCGACGAUGGGUAGCCGGCCGGAGAGGAGGAACGGCCACAUUUGAACUGGGAAGCGGUCCAGACUCGACGGGAGGCAGCAGUGGGGGAUAUUGCACAAUGGAGUGAACGCUGAUGCAGCGACGCCGCGUGAACGAAGAAGGCUUUCGAGUCGUAAAGUGCUUUUAUAUGGGAAGCGGUACCAUAAGAAAAAGCCCCGGCUAACUACGUGCCAGCAGCCGCGGUAAUUC
rnacentral:rRNA from 1 species